rnacentral:rRNA from 1 species
UACGUAGGGUCCGAGCGUUGUCCGGAAUUAUUGGGCGUAAAGAGCUCGUAGGCGGUCUGUCGCGUCCGUUGUGAAAACUCGAGGCUCAACCUCGGGCUUGCAGUGGAUACGGGCAGACUAGAGUACGGUAGGGGAGACUGGAAUUCCUGGUGUAGCGGUGGAAUGCGCAGAUAUCAGGAGGAACACCGAUGGCGAAGGCAGGUCUCUGGGCCGCAACUGACGCUGAGGAGCGAAAGCAUGGGGAGCGAACAGG